UACAGAGGGUGCGAGCGUUAAUCGGAAUUACUGGGCGUAAAGCGCACGUAGGCGGCUUGGUAUGUCGGGUGUGAAAUCCCCGGGCUCAACCUGGGAACUGCAUCCGAAACUGCCUUGCUCGAGUAUGGGAGAGGGAAGUGGAAUUUCCGGUGUAGCGGUGAAAUGCGUAGAUAUCGGAAGGAACAUCAGUGGCGAAGGCGACUUCCUGUACCAAUACUGACGCUCAGGUGCGAAAGCGUGGGGAGCAAACAGG
rnacentral:rRNA from 1 species